AAACUACAAAUGAAUUGACGGGGCCCGCACAAGCGGAGGAACAUGUGGUUUAAUUCGAUGAUACGCGAGGAACCUUACCUGGGCUUAAAUGUAGAGUGCAUGGGGUAGAAAUAUCCCUUUCCUUCGGGACUCUUUGCAAGGUGCUGCAUGGUUGUCGUCAGCUCGUGCCGUGAGGUGUCGGGUUAAGUCCCAUAACGAGCGCAACCCUUAUCGUUAGUUGCCAGCGGGUCAUGCCGGGAACUCUAACGAAACUGCCGGUGUAAACCGUGAGGAAGGUGGGAUGACGUCAAAUCAGCACGGCCCUUAUGUCCAGGGCUACACACGUGUUACAAUGGCCGGUACAGAGGGCAGCUACCUGGAGACAGGAUGCGAAUCUCCAAAGCCGGUCUCAGUUCGGAUCGGAGUCUGCAACUCGACUCCGUGAAGCUGGAUUCGCUAGUAAUCGCGCAUCAGCCAUGGCGCGGUGAAUACGUUCCCGGGCCUU
rnacentral:rRNA from 1 species